AAUCUAUUGAAGCGUUCAGCUGAUGAACAAUAAAGAAUUAUAAGGAUCAAAUCAUUCAGUUAUUAUGUCAACAUUAGCCUUUCAGUUAUCAAUAAUAUUAAUAUUUCUUAAAAACUGAAUAAAUUAAUAAUUAGAGAUUAGAGUUCAAUGCCUGCUUGCAUUGCAUUCAAUUGUACUUCAAGAACCCCUGGCUUUUUCUAGAUUCCUAGAAAAUUAUAUUGCUAGUAAAUCGUGGAAGAAAUGUAAAUAUAAACAUUAAUAUGUGAUAAUAUUCUUUUAGCAGGUCCUAAAAAUCACGCAAGGCUAAAGAAAUGGAUAUUAAUCUGUCGUUGCCAAGAUGUGAAACAAUCCAAAUGGUCAAGGAUAUAUUUAAAGCACUUCAAGGACUCUGAGAUCAUCAAACACAAAGUUAAGUGCACUUUUGUUAGUUGAUGAUGGAGCAGUCCCCCUCCCCCCUUCUCCCCAUUUUCUACUUUCCAAUGU
rnacentral:lncRNA from 1 species